CAAAACCUCCCAGAGAAGGCCGAACUGGGAGGCCAUGAAG
rfam:Kyasanur forest disease virus strain KFD P 9605, complete genome